rnacentral:rRNA from 1 species
AACGAACGCUGGCGGCAUGCCUAACACAUGCAAGUCGAACGAGACCUUCGGGUCUAGUGGCGCACGGGUGCGUAACGCGUGGGAACCUGCCUUUAGGUUCGGAAUAACUCAGAGAAAUUUGAGCUAAUACCGGAUGAUGUCUUCGGACCAAAGAUUUAUCGCCUUUAGGUGGGCCCGCGUUGGAUUAGCUAGUUGGUGGGGUAAAGGCCUACCAAGGCGACGAUCCAUAGCUGGUCUGAGAGGAUGAUCAGCCACACUGGGACUGAGACACGGCCCAGACUCCUACGGGAGGCAGCAGGGGGGAAUAUUGGACAAUGGGCGAAAGCCUGAUCCAGCAAUGCCGCGUGAGUGAUGAAGGCCUUAGGGUUGUAAAGCUCUUUUACCCGAGAUGAUAAUGACAGUAUCGGGAGAAUAAGCUCCGGCUAACUCCGUG